rnacentral:rRNA from 1 species
GAAGGUGUGCUGUGAGGUAUGCUGGAGGUAUCAGAAGUGCGAAUGCUGACAUAAGUAACGAUAAAGCGGGUGAAAAGCCCGCUCGCCGGAAGACCAAGGGUUCCUGUCCAACGUUAAUCGGGGCAGGGUGAGUCGACCCCUAAGGCGAGGCCGAAAGGCGUAGUCGAUGGGAAACAGGUUAAUAUUCCUGUACUUGGUGUUACUGCGAAGGGGGGACGGAGAAGGCUAUGUUGGCCGGGCGACGGUUGUCCCGGUUUAAGCGUGUAGGCUGGUUUUCCAGGCAAAUCCGGAAAAUCAAGGCUGAGGCGUGAUGACGAGGCACUACGGUGCUGAAGCAACAAAUGCCCUGCUUCCAGGAAAAGCCUCUAAGCAUCAGGUAACAUCAAAUCGUACCCCAAACCGACACAGGUGGUCAGGUAGAGAAUACCAAGGCGCUUGAGAGAACUCGGGUGAAGGAACUAGGCAAAAUGGUGCCGUAACUUCGGGAGAAGGCACGCUGAUAUGUAGGUGAAGCGACUUGCUCGUGGAGCUGAAAUCAGUCGAAGAUACCAGCUGGCUGCAACUGUUUAUUAAAAACACAGCACUGUGCAAACACGAAAGUGGACGUAUACGGUGUGACGCCUGCCCGGUGCCGGAAGGUUAAUUGAUGGGGUUAGCGCAAGCGAAGCUCUUGAUCGAAGCCCCGGUAAACGGCGGCCGUAACUAUAACGGUCCUAAGGUAGCGAAAUUCCUUGUCGGGUAAGUUCCGACCUGCACGAAUGGCGUAAUGAUGGCCAGGCUGUCUCCACCCGAGACUCAGUGAAAUUGAACUCGCUGUGAAGAUGCAGUGUACCCGCGGCAAGACGGAAAGACCCCGUGAACCUUUACUAUAGCUUGACACUGAACAUUGAGCCUUGAUGUGUAGGAUAGGUGGGAGGCUUUGAAGUGUGGACGCCAGUCUGCAUGGAGCCGACCUUGAAAUACCACCCUUUAAUGUUUGAUGUUCUAACGUUGGCCCCUGAUCGGGGUUGCGGACAGUGUCUGGUGGGUAGUUUGACUGGGGCGGUCUCCUCCUAAAGAGUAACGGAGGAGCACGAAGGUUGGCUAAUCCUGGUCGGACAUCAGGAGGUUAGUGCAAUGGCAUAAGCCAGCUUGACUGCGAGCGUGACGGCGCGAGCAGGUGCGAAAGCAGGUCAUAGUGAUCCGGUGGUUCUGAAUGGAAGGGCCAUCGCUCAACGGAUAAAAGGUACUCCGGGGAUAACAGGCUGAUACCGCCCAAGAGUUCAUAUCGACGGCGGUGUUUGGCACCUCGAUGUCGGCUCAUCACAUCCUGGGGCUGAAGUAGGUCCCAAGGGUAUGGCUGUUCGCCAUUUAAAGUGGUACGCGAGCUGGGUUUAGAACGUCGUGAGACAGUUCGGUCCCUAUCUGCCGUGGGCGCUGGAGAACUGAGGGGGGCUGCUCCUAGUACGAGAGGACCGGAGUGGACGCAUCACUGGUGUUCGGGUUGUCAUGCCAAUGGCACUGCCCGGUAGCUAAAUGCGGAAGAGAUAAGUGCUGAAAGCAUCUAAGCACGAAACUUGCCCCG